AUUGAACGCUGGCGGCAUGCUUUACACAUGCAAGUCGAACGGUAACAGGCCGCAAGGUGCUGACGAGUGGCGAACGGGUGAGUAAUGCAUCGGAACGUGCCCAGUCGUGGGGGAUAACUACUCGAAAGAGUAGCUAAUACCGCAUACGAUCUAUGGAUGAAAGCGGGGGACCGUAAGGCCUCGCGCGAUUGGAGCGGCCGAUGGCAGAUUAGGUCGUUGGUGGGGUAAAGGCUCACCAAGCCAACGAUCUGUAGCCGGUCUGAGAGGACGACCAGCCACACUGGGACUGAGACACGGCCCAGACUCCUACGGGAGGCAGCAGUGGGGAAUUUUGGACAAUGGGCGCAAGCCUGAUCCAGCAAUGCCGCGUGCAGGAAGAAGGCCUUCGGGUUGUAAACUGCUUUUGUACGGAACGAAACGGCUCUGGUUAAUACCCGGGGCUAAUGACGGUACCGUAAGAAUAAGCACCGGCUAACUACGUG
rnacentral:rRNA from 1 species